AUGGCGGAGCUCGAGGCCGGGUCCAUCUCCAUGGCGGCCGGGGGCGGCGGCCGACUCCGGAACGCCCUGAGCGGCAUGCUGUGUGCUUUCGCCCUCCUCCUUAUCGGCGUCCUUGCCUUCUCCAUCCGCCUCUUCUCAGUGAUCAAGUAUGAGAGCGUGAUCCACGAGUUCGAUCCCUACUUCAACUACCGCGUCACUCAGUUUUUGUCAAAGAGUGGAAUCUACGAGUUUUGGAACUGGUUUGACGAUCGAACAUGGUACCCCCUCGGACGUGUUAUUGGCGGCACCGUCUAUCCUGGUUUGACACUGACGGCAGGCACGAUAUGGUGGUUGCUAAACUCCCUCAACAUCCCAUUGUCGGUGGAGACUGUCUGUGUGUUCACUGCUCCGAUUUUUUCGGCAAAUGCUUCCUGGGCAACUUAUCUGUUGACAAAGGAAGCGAAGGGUCAUGGGGCUGGUUUAAUGGCAGCAACUAUCUUAGCUAUGGUCCCCUCAUACAUCUCAAGAUCUGUUGCAGGCAGCUACGAUAACGAAGCUGUAGCAAUAUUUGCUUUAAUAUUCACAUUUUAUCUAUAUGUAAAGACACUAAACACGGGGUCACUCUUUUAUGCAACACUUAAUGCUCUCUCUUACUUUUACAUGGUCUGUUCCUGGGGAGGCUACACAUUCAUCAUCAACCUUAUCCCAAUGCAUGUUCUCCUGUGUAUUGUAACUGGUCGUUAUUCUUCACGACUUUACGUUGCUUAUGCUCCCCUUGUUGUACUGGGAACACUUCUGGCAGCAUUGGUACCUGUGGUUGGUUUUAAUGCAGUAUUGACAUCAGAGCACUUUGCAUCAUUUCUGGUGUUUAUAAUCCUCCAUGUGGUUGCUCUUGUGUAUUACAUCAAAGGACUUUUAACUCCUCGGCUGUUCAAAGUGGCCAUGACAUUUGUACUAACGGUUGGCUUAGCCCUUUGUCUCGCUGUAGUAGCAAUACUUGCUGCAUUGGUCGCAUCUAGCCCAACAAAAGGUUGGAGUGGGCGCAGUUUGAGUCUACUUGACCCAACAUAUGCAAGCAAGUACAUCCCUAUCAUUGCUAGCGUGAGCGAACAUCAACCACCUACCUGGCCUUCUUACUUUAUGGCUAUCAAUGUGCUAGCCUUCUUAGUUCCUGCUGGGAUCAUAUCAUGCUUCUUACCUUUAUCUGAUGCAAGCUCAUUUUCGGUCUUGUACUUGGUAACUUCAGUAUAUUUCUCUGGGGUAAUGGUACGACUGAUGCUUGUUCUUGCCCCUGCCGUGUGCAUUUUGUCUGGGAUUGCUCUGUCAGAAGCUUUUAACGUCCUCACACGAUCGAUGAAAUUUCAGCGCCCAAUAUCAGAUGAUACCCUUCCUACUGCAGGAGAUAGUACCCCAGGGAGUUCCAGUACAGCCACUAUCACAACUUCCACGAAAAAUGCGAACAUAAAAAAAGAAAAAAUGGGGACUAUUUCAAAGGAAAGAUCAUCAAAGAAGAGUCGGAAGGAAACAGAAUUGGUGGGAAGUUCUCCUGUUAGGCCCGAAAAGGAGGAGAAGCUUUGUGUACUGCCUUCUGAAGCAUCUGCCAUGGGUAUACUGUUCCUGAUCAUGCUUUGUGGACUUUAUGUGAUCCAUUGUGUAUGGGCAGCUGCAGAAGCAUACUCUGCACCCUCAAUUGUGCUGACAUCACGUUCACACGACGGGCUGCAUGUUUAUGACGAUUUCCGUGAAUCUUAUGCAUGGCUGCGCCAUAACACAGAAGUGGACGAUAAGGUUGCGUCAUGGUGGGAUUAUGGUUAUCAGACAACUGCAAUGGCCAACAGGACCGUGAUUGUAGACAAUAAUACCUGGAAUAACACGCACAUAGCGACAGUUGGGACAGCAAUGUCAUCCCCAGAAAAAGGAGCAUGGGAGAUCUUCAAUUCCUUAGAUGUUAAAUAUGUGCUUGUGGUCUUUGGAGGGCUUAUUGGCUACCCAAGUGAUGAUAUUAAUAAGUUCCUCUGGAUGGUUCGAAUCGGAGGUGGUGAAUUCCCUCACAUCAAGGAACAGGAUUACCUUAGGGAUGGCAACUACCGUGUUGAUGCUCAGGGCACUCCAACAAUGCUGAAUUGCCUCAUGUACAAGCUUUGUUAUUACAGAUUCGCUGAGACUGAUGGCAAGGGGUUUGACAGAGCGAGAAGAUAUGAAAUAGGAAGGAAGCAUUUUAAACUGACCCAUUUUGAGGAGGUUUUUACAACCCAGCACUGGAUGGUUAGGAUUUACAAACUGAAACCGCAAAAGAACAGGGUCCGAGGAAAGUUGAAACUGAAAUUGAAAUCUGUAAGCCAGACAACACUACAGCUUGCCUACAAUCAUAGUUCGAAAACAAGUUUAAUGCGCAAAGGGGCUGGAAAGAAGAACCCAUGGCAGUAG
rnacentral:rRNA from 1 species